rnacentral:misc_RNA from 1 species
GAUGAAGAACGUAGCGAAAUGCGAUAAGUAAUGUGAAUUGCAGAAUUCAGUGAAUCAUCGAAUCUUUGAACGCACCUUGCACCCUUUGGUAUUCCGAAGGGUAUGCUCGUUUGAGUGUCAUUGUACUCUCACACUUCCGAUCGUUUGGAUCGGGAGCGGUGGACUUGGGUGUUGCUGCUUUACUGUGGCUCACCUUAAAUGCAUUAGUGCACCUUUCGGUUGGACAUAGUACGGCGUGAUAAGUGUCUUCGCCGGCACCUCACAGAGGGUGGCUGAUCGGGAGCUCUGUGCUUCAAACCGUCCUCGGGCAACAGCUGACAACUUGACCUCAAAUCGAGUAGGACUACCCGCUGAACUUAAGCAUAUCAAUAAGCGGAGGA